AUUGAACGCUGGCGGCAUGCCUUACACAUGCAAGUCAAACGGUAACAGGUCUUCGGAUGCUGACGAGUGGCGAACGGGUGAGUAAUACAUCGGAACGUGCCCGAUCGUGGGGGAUAACGAAGCGAAAGCUUUGCUAAUACCGCAUACGAUCUACGGAUGAAAGCAGGGGACCGCAAGGCCUUGCGCGAACGGAGCGGCCGAUGGCAGAUUAGGUAGUUGGUGGGAUAAAAGCUUACCAAGCCGACGAUCUGUAGCUGGUCUGAGAGGACGACCAGCCACACUGGGACUGAGACACGGCCCAGACUCCUACGGGAGGCAGCAGUGGGGGAUUUUGGACAAUGGGCGAAAGCCUGAUCCAGCCAUGCCGCGUGCAGGAUGAAGGCCUUCGGGUUGUAAACUGCUUUUGUACGGAACGAAAAGACUCUGGUUAAUACCUGGGGUCCAUGACGGUACCGUAAGAAUAAGCACCGGCUAACUACGUGCCAGCAGCCGCGGUAAUACGUAGGGUGCAAGCGUUAAUCGGAAUUACUGGGCGUAAAGCGUGCGCAGGCGGUUAUAUAAGACAGAUGUGAAAUCCCCGGGCUCAACCUGGGAACUGCAUUUGUGACUGUAUAGCUAGAGUACGGCAGAGGGGGAUGGAAUUCCGCGUGUAGCAGUGAAAUGCGUAGAUAUGCGGAGGAACACCGAUGGCGAAGGCAAUCCCCUGGGCCUGUACUGACGCUCAUGCACGAAAGCGUGGGGAGCAAACAGG
rnacentral:rRNA from 1 species